UCAUCUUUUUCGCACCGGUUCAAACCGAUGCGAAUUAAAAAAGAGGAAAAGAAGGGAGAAAGGGAUUUCGCAUCGGUUCAGACCAAACCGGUGCGAAAUAGUGUUUUAGCAUCGGUUCAAACUGGUGCAAAAUAAAAAAAAAAAAAAAACCGUGCAGUGUAUGUAUAUCUUCUUCUUUCUUUCUUUCCCCCUGCUUUUUCAUCUUCUUUUUUCCCUCGUUUUCGCCUUCUCUUCAACCACCUCUGAAUUUUCACCUUCUCCAUUGAGCUUUUUCACUCCAUUGAAGCAGCCGCACCUCCUUCUCUCUCCAUAUCUCUCCUCCAUCUCCAUUGAAGUAGAUUCUGAGCUUUCUCACCUCCAUUGAAGCAGCUUCGAGGGUUUGUCAUUGAAGCACGCACAACUCCACCUCCACCACAACGGCCUCCUUGUCACGGCGGCACGACCUUCUUUUUCUAGGGUUUAUCGUUAAUUCCCCCCUUUUUCUUCGAUCUCCUUUUCCGCCACUGCGCCGCAAGUGUUUCCAUUGAUGGCUAGGGUUUUCAAAAACAUUUUUCAUUCAAUAUCUGCAAUUUUAUCGUCCUUCUCAUCGCUGCUCAUGUCAUAGCUUUGGUGUACUGAAUUUUCAGAGUUGCAACUGAGAAGCAGCAACAAUUUCCUGGAAGAUCCAGAAAACACUGAUUUUGCCUCCUUGUGCAUUGUUCUGAAGGCAUUUCAUUAUCCCGUGACAAUCACAUUGAUUCAAUUUGUUGUUGGGUCAGUGCUUGUUACCUUCAUGUGGAUGUUCAAUCUGUAUAAGAAGCCAAAAGUUAGCGCUGGGCAGAGAGUGAUAGGCCAGUUCUUGUCAUCAAGGGUCCAAAUGGAAGAAUUAAUAGAGCUAUUUGGGGGCCUUUAAACAGCACUAUAAUUAGUUGUGGCGAAGAUGCUAUCAUCCGUGUCUGGGAUCUUGUGGCAGGCCAAGAGAUGAUGUCUACAAAGGACCAUAAAUAUGGUCACACGAAAGCAAUUACAUCACUUUUGUCUAUCUGCAGACAAGUCACAUUUCCUUACUGGCUCUCUGGAUAAAUUAGCAAAGCUCUAGGACACAAGGACUUUAACUCUCCUUAAAUCCUACAGUACAGAGCGACUUGUGAAUGCUGUUACCAUGUCUCCUUUACUGGACCAUGUAUGUUACUUUAAUUUUCAUUUUCAUUUAUUUUAUUUCUUCUGAUUUGUUGUUUCCAGUUUUACUAGCUGUGUGGUGUUUAUAUUUUCACUGCUCCUGUUUUCCCAUGGUAUAUUUCCUUAGGGCAAGAAAUUUGGUAUCUGAAUGGUUUUCACUACAGGAUGUUUGAUGACUUGGUGAGUCUUAAGCCUCAACUGGAUCAUCAUAUAUCUCACUUUGUACUCGUAUCACCAUAGUUAUGUUAGAUAGCAGUUAGCAUGAUGAAUGAGAGAUGUCGGGAUUGAUUUAUUGCUACCCUAUAUGAUAUGCUUUUAAUUUGUUAUAAGGCUUUGAAUGCAGUUUACUUAUUCCCUGUAGUUUUGUGGUCUGAUUUCUAGUUUACACUUUCUGCCUUAACAUGUGUGUGAAAUUGUAUACCAUUCUGAGAAAGGAGAUUAAAAUUCUACUUAGAUAAUUGUUUCAUAUUUCUAAUGAUAUGCAUUUUAUGAAGUCUUAGGAAGACUAUGACAUGAGUACAUUGCCAAGUCUUUACAUUGUCACUUGCUGAGAUGUAUUUAGUGUAUUUACAAUAGAAAUAAUUUAGGAUGGUGGGCCUUAAAUAGAUAUUUAGUUGAGCUGCAAAAUGCUUUAUAAGCUCAUGGUUACCUAGUCUCUCUAAAGAAUCAAGAGAGGAAAAAGUUUUUUUUUUUUUUUUUUUAUUUUAUUUUUUAUAUUUAUUUUUUGAGGGGGCAGGAUGGAAAGUUAAAAUUUCUGUCUUGUUAUUGGUUGACAGCAACUUGCUACGUAUCGCUAUUACUAUAAAAGCUUUGCAGACCUAGAGGCUCAGACUUAACUUCUGAGAGAUUAAACCCUUUAUAUGCACACCCUUGUACACUUUACAAAUCCCUCCCCUCUUUUUUUUUUUUUUAAGUUGAUAAAUCUUCCUUGGUAGAAAUAUACAAACAGUACAUAAAUGAAAGGAGUUUUUAUCUAUGCUUUUGCAACUCAGGAAUUAAAGUGCUUCCCUACUCUUCAAUAUGAGAUAGCAUCAGCUGCAAAUUCAGCACUAAUGAGGUUUUGUGAAGAGAGCAAAAAGACAACUUUGCGGUUAGUAGAGAUAGUAUCCUCAUAUAUCACUCCUGAUUUCUUUUGAAAGCUCUCUGCAACAAAUGUGGUUCCAUAUACAGAAGCUUACUACCUAAAGAUUAGCUCGAAUGUGGCCUCUUAUGUCAAUAUGGUGUCAGAAACACUAAAGAACUCAAUUCCUAAGGCUGUGGUGUAUUGCCAAGUCAGGCAGGCAAAGCUUUCAUUACUGAAUCAGUUUUGCUUGCAACUCGGUAGGAAAGAGGUAAUCUAAGUAUCUAACAGUCAAAUCUUAUUCUGGUAUUUGUUAAAUUGGUUCAAUUGGUUUGAUGUCUAUGACAAAAUGCGCUUCGAAUUAUUGGUUCAAUUUAUUUGGUUUUUCCGUAUCUGUUUUUCCUCGAACCUAGACAUUGAAUGAUUAACUUCAGUCCUUGGUUACAAUGUUGCAUCCCUCACUAGGUUGUUUUGAGUUUAAAUUACCCUGUGCCUAUUCCCUUAAGAAUCGUAUUCCCGCUUUUAAAAUAAAGCCUUACAUUUUGGUGUUGCUUGUUUUGGAGGGAGCUUUUCGAGCUAGCUUGCAGGGGACUUCCACAAAUGAGCUCCAAUUUUGUGUUAAAAGUGCCAGCAAUACAAACGAGCAAUGGCAGCAGCAAGGAACAACAACAACACACAACCAGCAAGCCAUAACCAAAGCAGCAACAACAGUACAGCAGCAGCACCACAAGAGAAAAACAAACAGCAGCUAGCAACCCACCCAGCACCCCACAGCAACUCAUCCAUCACCAUGAAGGCAUAUAUGAACAAAUUACAGAGUAAUUUCAUAUACAGAAUUUUCUUUUAUUUAAUUUUUUUGGACGAAAAUUGUAAUAUUACGGCUUUUUUUAAU